rnacentral:rRNA from 1 species
CAGUAGCCACGGGAAUACGUAGGGUGCAAGCGUUAAUCGGAAUUACUGGGCGUAAAGCGUGCGCAGGCGGUUGUGUAAGUCAGAUGUGAAAUCCCCGGGCUCAACCUGGGAACUGCAUUUGAGACUGUAUGGCUAGAGUGUGUCAGAGGGGGGUAGAAUUCCACGUGUAGCAGUGAAAUGCGUAGAUAUGUGGAGGAAUACCGAUGGCGAAGGCAGCCCCCUGGGAUAACACUGACGCUCAUGCACGAAAGCGUGGGGAGCAAACAGGAUUAGAGACCCCCGUAGUCCCUGUCUCUUAUAC